rnacentral:rRNA from 1 species
UCGUGGAUUGAUUUGUCUGGUUAAUUCCGAUAACGAACGAGACCUUAAUCUGCUAAUUAGUUGGGCAAAGUCUAACUUUGUUUCUUCCAACUUCUUAGAGAGACAGCUGGCGUUUAGCCAAAGGAAGUUUGAGGCAAUAACA